rnacentral:lncRNA from 12 species
GGAAAGCCCACAAAACCACCAUAGUAAGGAACUAAGAUAAGAAGACUAACAGAAAACACCUUGUGCCAGACAUUCCUUUACUGACACCUGUAGUUCUGCUGCCGUGUCAAGCUUCGAUGUUGGAGCCUUUCUGACUUCAAGGUGUGCCUUCACUCUGUCAACUCAUCCAUCAGGCUAUUUUAUCUCUUCUCACAUGGAGAAGGAAGAUCCUGGCUCCUGGAAGCUGAGUCAGAAGUAAAGGAUACCUAGAAGGAGAUAACAUCAGUGUAAU